CAAGAGAGGAGACCAAGGGGGAUGGGUAGCAGUGGCUGCCUUGGAGAGUCAUCUGUGCUGUCACUACAGGGAUCAGGGAAACAGCUGCUUGACAGAGACUUAACUAGCUGCUAUAGGAAAAAGAGUGUACAGCAGUUGUUUGGAAAUUCAAGGAUUUUUGAGACACUCCACAGAUGUCCAUGAGUAUAGGAAGGAACAGAGGAAAACUCCACAGUUCUGAAAGGACAUCCUUGUAUGGUUUGGAUGCAAUGGCUUCCAUUCCUUCACUGAAGCUCAUACAAUGCCAUUGCACUGUGCCUGCACAAAAAGGAUCUUCAUGCUCCAGUUCAGACAGAUAUUUGGUUCAUCAUGGUUUUCUAUUUUUUGUUUUUCAGCAAAUCAAAUAUUUUACAGUCACAAUUGGCUACAGAGGGAAUAGGAGACUGACAAAAAUCACCCCUUCUCUGUAGUGUAUGUUUGCCACUACACAUGCACUUUAUUAGACUGGAUGUUGGCCACUAUGUGUAACAACUUUUCUUAGGUUAAAGUGCAGAUAUGGGUCUUAAAACAUGCAUCCUCUCUGGAUUUAAUACAUACUCCUGUCCCCUUUUAGAGCUGUAAUGAUGUAGUCUGUCACUAGGUGCCAAGCAAAGAUGCUGUUUCUUUCAUCAUUGUGGCCCAUCAACUUUGGAACGCCCUCUCGGAAGAGCUCUGCUAUGCAGCCUCCUUUAGGGUCUUUAAGAAACUGUUGAAGAACCAUCUUUUUGGAGAGGCAUUUUAACAUUUUAGCUGUAAUUAUUUGGUGGAUUUUUACCUUUAACUGCUAAUAUUUUAAUCUGUAUUUUAAAAUUUUGGUUAAAACUGAUUUGUUUUAGUUUUGUUUCUAUUUAUUUAUUUUUUUAAAAGUAUUGCUUUAUAGUAUACUAAUUUUGCUUUUAUUGACUUUACUGCUCAUGAUGGCUAACAGUGUACUGGAGGGGAGGGGCAUAAAUAUUUUAAAUAAAUAAAACAUCACCUUCAGCAGCA